rnacentral:rRNA from 1 species
UACAGAGGGUGCAAGCGUUAAUCGGAAUUACUGGGCGUAAAGCGCGCGUAGGUGGUUCGUUAAGUUUGGAUGUGAAAAUCCCCCGGGCUCAACCUGGGAACUGCAUUCAAAACUGACGAGCUAGAGUAUGGUAGAGGGUGGUGGAAUUUCCUGUGUAGCGGUGAAAAUGCGUAGAUAUAGGAAGGAACACCAGUGGCGAAGGCGACCACCUGGACUGAUACUGACACUGAGGUGCGAAAGCGUGGGGGAGCAAACAGG